rnacentral:sRNA from 1 species
CGCGCGCGGGCGGGGAGCGCGCGGGGAGGGGGACGCGGCUCGGGGCGCUCACCAGCCCCGCUCCCCAGGGCUCACCCCAACACCCUGCACUGGGUCGAUGAGGCCGGGAAGGUCGGAGAGCAGCUGCCGCUGGAGGACCCUGACGUCUACUGCCCCUACAGCGCCAUCGGCAACGUCACGGGAGAGCUGGUGUACGCCCACUACGGGCGGCCCAAAGACCUGCAGGACCUGCGGGCCAGGGGCGUGGACCCAGUGGGCCGCCUGCUGCUGGUGCGCGUGGGGGUGAUCAGCUUCGCCCAGAAGGUGACCAAUGCUCAGGACUUCGGGGCUCAAGGAGUGCUCAUAUACCCAGAGCCAGCGGACUUCUCCCAGGACCCACCCAAGCCAAGCCUGUCCAGCCAGCAGGCAGUGUAUGGACAUGUGCACCUGGGAACUGGAGACCCCUACACACCUGGCUUCCCUUCCUUCAAUCAAACCCAGUUCCCUCCAGUUGCAUCAUCAGGCCUUCCCAGCAUCCCAGUCCAGCCCAUCAGUGCAGACAUUGCCUCCCGCCUGCUGAGGAAGCUCAAAGGCCCUGUGGCCCCCCAAGAAUGGCAGGGGAGCCUCCUAGGCUCCCCUUAUCACCUGG